GGUAGCUUUUUGAAUAUCCCACUUACAUUUUCAGUGGGAUAUUCAAAAAGCUACUG
ensembl:miRNA gmo-mir-11220a gmo-mir-11220a